UGGACGCUAAUCGCAUCCGGGCCCAUCCUUAUACAUCUGACCAUGUUGCCCCAGAUGCUCCGUCUUUGGACAUGGCUUAGGGCGCCAACACAGGAAUUUGAGGUGGGCACAGUUCACUACAGACCAAGGGGCGGCAGCUUCUGCUACUUGUUUAUUAACCUGUUCCUUGUCUCUAGAAUUGGGAGAAUAGUUGCCAAAUGAAAAUGUCCCCAGGACUUGUGGUCACUCUGUUUUAUAUGCUUGGGAAACUGGCCCUUUCUUGGGCUAUUUAACUCCAUGUCUUUAAAUAUAGUUACAUUAAUUUUCUAACACUGCAUAACAACUUGCCUCAAAAUUAGUGGCUUAACAGGACACUGACUUACUAGUCCCAGUUCCAUGGGUUGGAAGUCUAGCACAGUGUGGCUGCUCUUCUGCUCAGGGCCUCAGAGGCUGAAAUCCAUGUGCUGGGCUGAGGCUCUCAUCCGGGACUCGGGUCAUCUUCUGAGCUCACUCGCCCACCUCCUGUGGUUGUUGGACUGAGGUUCUGCUUUGUUGCAGGCCGUCAGUUGGGGGCUGCCCUCAGCUCCUAGUGGCCCCACAGUUCCUCGUCCAAGGACUGUGGGUAGUUGACAGCAAGUUGCUUUCUGCCGGGCAGGUAGGACUCGCCCCUGUGUCCUGCUCUUCUGCUGUGAGCUGGAGAAAACUCUGCUUUGAAUGACCGUGCUCUUUGGCUUACCCUAUUUUAAGGAUCGUGUCUGAACUCGUGCCCUCCUUGGCCCUCUGUCCUCGUCCCCCUGUCCCGUGUGGAUGCCUCGUCCUCCAGGCCAGCCGGCCACAAAGUGAUCCUCUUGCACUUCGGGGGCCCCUUGACCCAUCGGUGGGGUGCCUGCUGCUCUGACCCCUCCCUCCGGGUCCAAGGUCAGACGUUCCUCCGCACCGGCUCUCCUCUGGUCACUGUCUAAAGCAGCCCCUCCACCUGUUUCCUCUGCUUCGCUGCCUUCCUCUGCUUUCUUCACGGUGCUCAUCACUCUUUGCUGAUGAGUUUGUCAUGUCUCGUCACCAGCUGGAAUGGGAGCUCCCUGAGCACAAGGCCUGUGAUAACAUGUGAGCACACUUGUUGUCUCCGUAGGCAUGCCUGGGAUGAGUAUUUGAGCACCUUUCCUGAGACGUCGGAAAACACCAUGGCUUCCAACCAUACUUGGUUGAUAGUUUGGCUGGAUGUAGAAUUCCACAUGAAAGUCUCUUUUCCUCAGAACUUGGAAAGAAUUACUUCUUUUGCUGGUAGGAUUCACUGUUGCUGAUGAAAAGUCUGGUGCUGAGUCCCACUCCACUGUGAGCUCCUUUCCUCCCAGAACCUGUAGGACCCUUUCUUGUACCCUUGAUGUCUUCCACUUCCAGGACUUGGUUAGAUGUGGGGAUUUUCCCUCACUGUGCCAGGCACUCAGGCCUUUGUGGUCUGAUGGUUCUUCCAGCUGGGGAAAUACUUGAAUAAUUUUUCCCAAAUCAUGAAAUACUGCCUACAAAUGAGCAUAGAGAAAGAUACAAUGAACACCUGUGUACUUAUUACCCAGCUUAAGAAAUAAAAUAUUAAAGUAUAUUUGAAAGCUCCUUA